UGAGGGUCAAUUUGCAUUUGUUCCAUCUUUGUCUUGAUCUUCAAGAAAAAGAAAUUUUCACCUGAUGGGCACAGUAUACGCAGCCCCCGAGCCGUUACACGACUAGUUUUGGGAGGUAUAAGGGUCUUUCAAUUUGUUACUUUUCAGCUUUUGCCAGUUCAAAAAAAUCUGUCUUGCAUGGAUAAGGCCAUAAUUGCCGCUAAUUAGUGAAAAUAUCAGCUCAUUACCCACGGAGACUCCGCCGCG
rnacentral:lncRNA from 1 species